GCAUUAGGGCACUUUGCCUUGCCAGGCCGGAGCCAGAUCGCAGGCGGGGAGUGCGCGACGCCCCUUCCCAGCCUCGAAAAAGCCAAGCGCAGGCCCAGCCAGCCAGAGAGACCCGGGUACCGAUUCCCAGGCUUGGGGGGGGCCCCCCUGCCACCACUCCGGGCUGGACCAAAUGACCCAAAAGACACACGCAUGCACACACACACACAUCACGGUGGACUUGUGGGGAGCGCAAAAGGGGACAGCUCAGAUGGUCUCUGUACCCCAGGGCCGCCCCCCAAGUUCUUCCUCGGGGGUCCCCCGCGCCCCUCCCUCGCCACAACACGCCACUAGAGAACAAACCCUUGCCCCGGUCACAGACCCCGGGCGGAAUACGCCCCCAGCUCCGGAGGGACACAAGCAGGUCCGGGGGCCAAGACCUGGUUCUUGCGCCCCGGCUGGCGGGGAUCUCCGAGCUCCCGGCCCCCGGGCGCGCGCCCCUCCCCCGCCCGGCGCCUCACAAAGGCCCUUUGUCCCGCCGAGCCCCCGGGACUCCAGUUCCUGAAAAGUUCCAGGAGAAAAAUCAAAGAGAGAGCAAAAUCGGCGAGCUCCGCCGAGCGGGCGGGGCAAGGCCGAGGUGGCAGCUCCUGAGAGACCCCAAGGAAGAGGGGAGCAUCGAGGGCUACUCUGGAAAUUGCAAAAAUCCGAAACUGCAAUUCGAACAGGAGGUGGAUUUUUUUUUUUUUUUAAGUCGAGACUUGGGACGCCAAGCACAAAAGCCAGGGACAGCCCGGGAAGGAGGGACCAGGUGUCCUGGGGCGGCCGCCGGGCAGGUCUGGAGGUCCCCGAGUCUCCUUCCCACCCCUCUGGCUGCAGCGGCCGCGGACUGACUGGAGGGAGAGUCUCCCGCCCCGGCGCAGCGCCCGCCCGGGUACCGUCCCCACCGCGCCUGGGCAGCCCGUCUCGGGAAAUGGUGGAGGCCGCGGGACCUUCUCGGCCACCUCCUCCAGCAGCUCGAUGCUCUGGUUACCAGAUUCGCGUUUACUUUGGAAAAAUCUAAGAUCGCCACAUCCGAGGAUACAUGUCUUAAGGAGGCGAUGAGCUUCCCGUGAUUUUUUUUUGUAAGAGAUUCUUUGGGUAGCUUUCUUUAAAAGCCAGCGCCUCGUAGUAUGCCCAGGCGCCCCAGUUUGGGGAAGUCGGGGUGAAGCCCCCUGGAACACCCUCACACUGGCAAAGAAGCUGCCUCGGCUAUCUGCGGGCUCCGCUGCGUUCUCCUUACUUUUCUCCCCCUCUUAAAUGGAGUUAAAAUGGCUGAAUUCCGGCUUUUAAUUAAAAACAGCCUAUAAUCGAAAACGUCUCGGCGUCCCGGGCUCCCCCGCCGCCUGCUGGGAACCGAGAGAGGAACCGCCGCCCCUCGGCCGGGCCAGGAGGGCCGGAGCGGGGCUGGGGGCUCGCGUGGGUGCCCGGGGCCCAGCAGCCCACCCCCACCCCUCCCGGGGCGCCCCCUCCCCGCCGGCCCUGGUCCCCGAUUCUGCAAUCCGGAGCCAGACAGUAGCGGGGAUCCCCCCCCGCGCACCCCGAGGGGCAGGCGUGGUUGGGGGGCGAGCUGGAGAAGUUUGGAGACCAUCGCGCCCGGCCGGGGGCCGGCAGGCUGACCGGCGGCGUACCUGGCGCGGCUGGGUUCACGGCUCCAGGCUCCGGCGACAACGACUCCGGCGGCGGCCCCGGCUCCCGGCGCAGCUAGGCGCCCCUGCUGCCCGCCAUCCCGCGGCCGCCGCUCCCCUCCGCCACCCGCAGCCGCCUCACACUUUUUGCCCGCCUUUCCUUUUUUUGGUAGAAAACCGCUCCCCGGGCCGAGCGCUCGGCGCGCCAACUCCUCCGCCCUCCCGCGGCCCGGCUCCCGCAGCCCCCGGAAAAGCCAGCUUUCCUCCCGCCGAGCUCCCCGCUUUUUAAUAAAAUCCAGGUAGCGCCGGUUUAAAGAAUCCCAAAUCUCCAUAUACAGCCCGGGAUUGGAAAAGGUACAUUACACAACCCCCCUUUCAAGUUCCUCUCGCAGGAUCUAAAAAAAAAAAAAAAAAGGCAGCGGAGGGGGGUGGUUGGAGGGGGUUGGGGGAGGGGGAGCCCUCUCCGGCAAAGAAACACGCAUUGUUCCCGGGUGCCCGCCCCCCCCCCCAGCCCGGCCCCCGGCCGCCGCGCAUUGGCCGCGCGCGCCGCCAAUCACGCGCAUGUAAACACCUUGGCCCACAGCCAUUCCUAUAAAACCAAUUACGGACCUAGGGGCUCCAGCAGUUUCCAGGCUCCCCUCGGCGGGGCUGAAUGAUCAAAACUGGUGGUGAGAAUUUUUCCGGGCCGUUUCUAGGCAGCCCUCCCCCUCCACCAGCUCGGACCCCCCCCUCCCUCCUUUCUCCUUCUCCUCCCUUUUCCUUCUCCCCUCCCCCAGCGUCUGGGCUGAGUGAUCAAAAUAGAGGAAGAUGGUUGUCGCCGCAAUCCAGGGCUUUGCAAGGCGCGGUUUAAUGGGCCGCCUGUCAGCUUCCUGCUCGCAGGAGGAGGUGACAAGCCAAGCGAGCCGGAGAGGGCCUGGGGCCCGGCUGGCUGCACCCCGCACUCCGGGCCCCGGCCCCCGGCCUCCCCUGGGGUGCGCUUCUAGUACGCGCGGUGGAGACGCCGAAACAGACAAGGGCUGCUUUUUCCCUUGUUUUUUUUUUCUUCCUUUUAAAACAAAGCAGCGAUUCAUUCCCUCUCCCCCAGCAGCGCGGUCGGGUGGGAUGGGCAGGCGAGAAGGCCGUUUUCCUAGCACUGACCUACGGGUCCCUCCCUGAAACGCGGUGUCAGAUGGUUACUGAUUAAUAUUUUGGAGAGGCCGCGGCGGCAGGCAGCGGGUGAGUCUCUAAUCUUCUAAAAGGGGUUCCUAUAGAAACGCGGAGCGGGGCGCGCCCCCCGCUCGGCCCAGGCCCGGGCUGCGGCGCUUCGCACAGCGCGCCCCUCCCCAAAGCCCCUCUUUGCGUGGGCGCUCCCCUCUCCUUCCCCCCCCGCCAACAAAAAAUCAGAGCAGAAAAAAGGAUUAGAUCGGCUGAGCGCGAACUGAAUCCCUCUCGAUUCUGACAUUUCAGCCUAUUAGCAUUUCUCCACGGAGCCUUCUGAAACCUAUUAAAGUGUAAUAUUAAAAACCUCUUGGCUGGGGGCCUCUCUCGCCUUCCAUCCGCCGCGCCCCCUCCAGGGAGGGCGAGACCGGGAAAAAAAUAAAAUCUGUUGAGCUCAGAGGAAGUAGCCGCCAAGCCCAAAAAGUGCUUGGCUGGCCACGGCGGCCGUAGGGGGAAGGGAGCCCCAAUCCCCCAGACUUUGUACUUUUAUUUUGCGCUUUCAGCAAAAUCCUUUCUGGGUUGAGUAGCCGUGAGCUGCCCGCGGCCGACCUACCUGACCGGGGGCGCAGGGAGUGCGGACCACGCCAGCAGGACUGUCCUGGGGGCCCCCGCACCCUCUCUCUGCAGCCCCCCGAGCCCGGCUAGGCAUUACGUACCCUGGAAAGGAAGCUUGGAGGGGCAGAAAUCCUUCCAAUGCUGCCUCGAAGAGCAACUGCAGUGAUAAGAUUUUAAUUAAAACAAGAGAAGCCCGCUCUUUCGCCCCGCGCUGCGGACUCAGCGUUUUCGCAUUGCCCGUUCUGUUUUUUUUAAAUCAAUUUUUAAGGCAACUUUUUGGGAGGGGGGAAAAAUGAGCGAGUUAGUGCCCAUUCGUUCUAUUUUCUUUUCUCCACUUUUAGAAAAAAGUGGGGGGAGGCUUCGAGAACGAACGGGGGGGUGUCUAAUUUAAUUCCAGGAUAAAUUUGAGGAAAAAAGUUCAGCCUCUUGAGGGCAGUUUCAAGUUGCCCUUCCUGGAGCUUCCUGCGUUAGUUUCUAGGCUGCCCUCUUUUGGAAGCUGUAGCUCCGCUGGGGAGGAGGGAGGAGUGAGAAGGAAAGAAAGGAACAAAAAUAGCCGGAGCCGAGGGGAACAAGCCACGGUGUCCGCGUUUGGAGCUGGGCGUGCGGGUCUCAGUGGCGGCCUCGGCAUUCGGGGCGGCGGGAGGCGCCCGGUGCAUCCCCGGGACGGCCAGGAGCAAAGACGGAGAGGAGAGGGGGGUUAGAGAAAGGAGGUAUUGUGUCUGUGUGCCUUAGGGGAGGAGGGGACUGCAGGAAUCGAAUAAACGCAGUCGAGCUGCGCGGGGCUGCUGGAAGCCCAGGCGGGGGAAGGGGGCCGUGUGUGGGGGCGCAGAGCGCCCUUGAGCCUUACGCAGAGGUCUUGUGUGUUCCUAGUUAAGCCCUCCCACGCCCGAGGCCCCAUCGCUUCCUCUCCACCCUCUUUACCCACCAAUAUUCCAAGCCCAGAUCCUAAUUCCCCACCGCAUUACCCCGCCCUGGAUUUGGGGAAUGUUUUUCUUUAUUUUAAUAUAGCUCAAGGAAAAAAUACGUAUAUCUUGAGAGAUUUGGGGUGGGGAAAACAAAAGCCUUGCGGAGUAGAAAAAACAAAGGCUUAUUUUUAUAAAUGUUUAAUGUUUUCACCCCCUGGAUGCUCCGAGACGCCGUAAUUGUGACGGCGGGGUACGUGUGCCAUAAAUCAUUUAGUUGCUAAUAAAAAUUCUGCCUGUUUGCCCUG
rnacentral:lncRNA from 1 species